UUUUCUAUACUCAGCCAUCGGAUCAGAAAAUCUCAAAGAGCUGACAACAAGAGACAUCAAAACAUCAGAGAAGAGCAAGAAGUUUAAGCUAAAACCUCUUAAGAUGAAGACACUGACAGCUGCAGUUACAGUAGCCAUUGUGGUCACAAUUAUGUGUAUUCUGAGGAGCUCUGCUGUCCCUGUUGUUGAAGAGCAAUUGCUGGUGGAGCUAAUGAACACUGACAAUCCAGCUGCAGAACCUGAAGAGAUAUCAGUGAACUCGUGGAAGAUGCUGCAUAAUGGAAGACAAAAGCGUGGUAUCUUUUGCGGCAGGUGCUGUAAUGGCAAAGUCUGCUGGAGGUGCUGCUAUGCCUAACUUGAUUUGGUUUUACUCCUUUUAUCAGCUGACAACUUUAAAUUGUUAAAAAAAAAAAUGCAGCUGUUUUUACCCAUGCACAACUGUCUAUCUAUGCACAACUGUGUAACAUGAAUUGCUUGCAAAAAUAAAUGCCUGAAUAAUAAAAUGUAGCAUUACUAUAAUA